ACGGGAUGUUUUCUUCCUGCAGGUGGGAAAGGAGGGAGCUACGCUCAGGCUGCCAACAGUGACAGCCCCCAGGGCUCUGAUGGGUCUCUCUCGGCUUCUAAAGCGUGAGGCAGCUGCCUUGUGGGGACCGAGAGAUGGAAGAUGUUCACGCUCCCACUUCCUGACUCAAGAACCUCUGAUUGGGGGGCUGGCCUGCUCUGCUCCCCACACUUUCCUGUCAGCAGAGGCAGGCUGGGCCCUCCCCAUCCCUGCCUUUACUCCCUGGUGCUCUGAGCGGCCACUUCCUGCUCUGUAUUGAAAUGAGGCUGUGGAUUGAC